GAUGAAGAACGUAGCGAAAUGCGAUAAGUAAUGUGAAUUGCAGAAUUCAGUGAAUCAUCGAAUCUUUGAACGCACAUUGCGCCCCCUGGUAUUCCGGGGGGCAUGCCUGUUCGAGCGUCAUUUCACCACUCAAGCCUCGCUUGGUAUUGGGCAACGCGGUCCGCCGCGUGCCUCAAAUCGACCGGCUGGGUCUUCUGUCCCCUAAGCGUUGUGGAAACUAUUCGCUAAAGGGUGUUCGGGAGGCUACGCCGUAAAACAACCCCAUUUCUAAGGUUGACCUCGGAUCAGGUAGAGAUACCCGCUGAACUUAAGCAUAUCAAUAAGCGGAGGA
rnacentral:misc_RNA from 1 species